rnacentral:rRNA from 1 species
AGUGUAGGCGGUCAAGCAAGUCAGAGGUGAAAGGCAUCGGCUCAACCGAUGUAAGCCUUUGAAACUGUUUGACUUGAGUGCAGGAGAGGUAAGUGGAAUUCCUAGUGUAGCGGUGAAAUGCGUAGAUAUUAGGAGGAACACCAGUGGCGAAGGCGACUUACUGGACUGUAACUGACGCUGAGGCUCGAAAGCGGUGGGGAGCGAACA